rnacentral:rRNA from 1 species
AACGAACGCUGGCGGCAUGCCUAACACAUGCAAGUCGAACGAGACCUUCGGGUCUAGUGGCGCACGGGUGCGUAACGCGUGGGAACCUGCCCUUAGGUUCGGAAUAACUCAGAGAAAUUUUAGCUAAUACCGGAUAAUGUCUUCGGACCAAAGAUUUAUCGCCUUUGGAUGGGCCCGCGUAGGAUUAGCUUGUUGGUGGGGUAAUGGCCUACCAAGGCGACGAUCCUUAGCUGGUCUGAGAGGAUGAUCAGCCACACUGGGACUGAGACACGGCCCAGACUCCUACGGGAGGCAGCAGUGGGGAAUAUUGGACAAUGGGCGAAAGCCUGAUCCAGCAAUGCCGCGUGAGUGAUGAAGGCCUUAGGGUUGUAAAGCUCUUUUACCAGGGAUGAUAAUGACAGUACCUGGAGAAUAAGCUCCGGCUAACUCCGUG